AUUGAACGCUGGCGGCAGGCCUAACACAUGCAAGUCGAACGAGUGGCGGACGGGUGAGUACUGUCUGGGAACCUGCCUGAUGGAGGGGGAUAACUACUGGAAACGGUAGCUAAUACCGCAUACCAUGAGCUGUGCCCAGAUGGGAUUAGCUUGUUGGUGGGGUAACGGCUCACCAAGGCGACGAUCCCUAGCUGGUGGGAGAGGAUGACCAGCCACACUGGAACGGGGACACGGCCCAGACUCCUACGGGAGGCAGCAGUGGGGAAUAUUGCACAAUGGGGGCAAGCCUGAUGCAGCCAUGCCGCGUGUAUGAAGAAGGCCUUCGGGUUGUAAAGUACUUUCAGCAGGGAGGCGUUACCCGCAGAAGAAGCACCGGCUAACUCCGUGCCAGCCGCCGCGGUAAUAC
rnacentral:rRNA from 1 species